rnacentral:rRNA from 1 species
GUCGAGCAAGGAUGAAAAUCGGACUUAGUGAUCCGGUGGUUCUGCGUGGAAGGGCCAUCGCUCAACGGAUAAAAGCUACCCUGGGGAUAACAGGCUUAUCUCCCCCAAGAGUCCACAUCGACGGGGAGGUUUGGCACCUCGAUGUCGGCUCAUCACAUCCUGGGGCUGUAGUAGGUCCCAAGGGUUGGGCUGUUCGCCCAUUAAAGUGGUACGCGAGCUGGGUUCAGAACGUCGUGAGACAGUUCGGUCCCUAUCCGUCGCAGGCGUAGGAAAUUUGAGAAGACCUGUCCGUAGUACGAGAGGACCGGGAUGGACGUACCUCUGGUGUACCAGUUGUCCUGCCAAGGGCAUGGCUGGGUAGCUAUGUACGGAAUGGAUAAGCGCUGAAAGCAUCUAAGCGCGAAGCCAACUUCAAGAUAAGAUUUCCCACCGCAAGGGUAAGACCCCAGAAAGACUAUCUGGUUGAUAGGUCGAAGGUGUAAGUGCAGCAAUGUA